GACGAACGCUGGCGGCGUGCUUAACACAUGCAAGUCGAACGGAAAGGCCCUGCUUUUGUGGGGUGCUCGAGUGGCGAACGGGUGAGUAACACGUGAGUAACCUGCCCUUGACUUUGGUAUAACUUCAGGAAACUGGGGCUAAUACCGUAUAGGAUCUCCUGCUGCAUGGUGGGGGUUGGAAAGUUUCGGCGGUUGGGGAUGGACUCGCGGCUUAUCAGCUUGUUGGUGGGGUAGUGGCUUACCAAGGCUUUGACGGGUAGCCGGCCUGAGAGGGUGACCGGCCACAUUGGGACUGAGAUACGGACCAGAGUCCUACGGGAGGCAGCAGUGGGGAAUAUUGCACAAUGGGCGGAAGCCUGAUGCAGCAACGCCGCGUGCGGGAUGACGGCCUUCGGGUUGUAAACCGCUUUCGCCUGUGACGAAGCGUGAGUGACGGUAAUGGGUAAAGAAGCACCGGCUAACUACGUG
rnacentral:rRNA from 1 species